rnacentral:rRNA from 1 species
UAUCAAUAAGCGGAGGAAAAGAAACCAACAGGGAUUGCCUCAGUAACUGCGAGUGAAGCGGCAAGAGCUCAAAUUUGAAAUCUGGCGUCUUUCGGCGUCCGAGUUGUAAUUUGGAGAGACGUCUUCGGGGAUGGGGCCGUCCUAAGUUCCUUGGAACAGGACGUCACAGAGGGUGAGAAUCCCGUGUUCGGGCGGCCACCCGUCUCCAUGUGAAGUGUCUUCGACGAGUCGAGUUGUUUGGGAAUGCAGCUCAAAAUGGGUGGUAAAUUUCAUCUAAAGCUAAAUAUUGGCGAGAGACCGAUAGCGCACAAGUAGAGUGAUCGAAAGAUGAAAAGCACUUUGAAAAGAGAGUUAAAAAGUACGUGAAAUUGUUGAAAGGGAAGCGCUCGAGACCAGACUCGUCUUUCACCGAUCAGCCGUGCUUCUGUGCGGUGCACUCGGGGUUUGUCGGGCCAGCAUCGGUUCCGGCGGUGGGAUAAAAGGCGAUGGAAUGUGGCUCCCUUCGGGGAGUGUUAUAGCCAACGUCACAAUGCCACCAGCUGGGACCGAGGAACGCGCUUCGGCGAGGAUGCUGGCGUAAUGGUCUUUAGCGACCCGUCUUGAAACACGGACCAAGGAGUCUAACAUCUAUGCGAGUGUUCGGGUGUAAAACCCCUGCGCGAAAUGAAAGUGAACGGAGGUGGGAACCCGCAAGGGUGCACCAUCGACCGAUCCUGAUGUCUUCGGAAGGAUUUGAGUAGGAGCAUAGCUGUUGGGACCCGAAAGAUGGUGAACUAUGCCUGAAUAGGGUGAAGCCAGAGGAAACUCUGGUGGAGGCUCGCAGCGGUUCUGACGUGCAAAUCGAUCGUCAAAUUUGGGUAUAGGGGCGAAAGACUAAUCGAACCAUCUAGUAGCUGGUUCCUGCCGAA